GGGGGGGGGGGGGGGGGGGGGGGGGGGGGGGGGGGCGGGGGGGGGCGGGGGAGGAGGGGGGGCGUGGGGGUGGGGGGGGGCGGGGGGGUGGGGAAUGGAUCGGGAUCUACUUGUUCGUGGGGGGUAACGUGGGGAAACGUACGCUAAUACCGCAUACGACCUACGGGUGAAAGCAGGGGAGCUUCGGACCUUGCGCGAUUGAAUGAGCCGAUGGCGGAUUAGCUAGGUGGCGGGGUAAAGGCCCACCAAGGCGACGAUCCGUAGCUGGUCUGAGAGGAUGAUCAGCCACACUGGAACUGAGACACGGUCCAGACUCCUACGGGAGGCAGCGGUGGGGAAUAUUGGACAAUGGGCGCAAGCCUGAUCCAGCCAUACCGCGUGGGUGAAGAAGGCCUUCGGGUUGUAAAGCCCUUUUGUUGGGAAAGAAAAGCAGCAGGUUAAUACCCCGCUGUUCUGACGGUACCCAAAGAAUAAGCACCGGCUAACUUCGUG
rnacentral:rRNA from 1 species